CUGGCGCGCUGGGCAGCCGCGGGACGCUCGUCGUCUCGAGGAAAGUCCGGACAUCACAGGGCAGGGUGGUCGGGAGACCGACCCGGGGAAACCCGCGGGAAAGUGCCACAGAAAUACACCGCCGAUGGCGCUUCGCGCACAGGCAAGGUUGAAAAGGUGCGGUAAGAGCGCACCGGCGUCGUGGUGACACGGCGGCCAGGUAAACCCCACCCGAUGCAAGACCGAGCAGAGCCGCUCGUAGGCGGCCCGCCGAGGCUCAGGUAGGUCGCAAAGAUGGAUGGUUGCCUCCGACAGAAUCCGGCUUACAGGCGCGCUACCACC
rnacentral:RNase_P_RNA from 1 species